rnacentral:rRNA from 1 species
GGUCAAGUAGAUAAGAGCAUAAGGCGGAUGCCUUGGCACUGGGAGCCGAAGAAGGACGUGACAAGCUGCGAUAAGCUCAGGUUAGGCGCAAAUAGCCGAUCGACCCUGAGAUGUCCGAAUGAGGAAACUCACCUGCGGCAAUGCGCAGGUACCGUACCGUGAAUACAUAGCGGUGCGGGGGGAACGCGGGGAACUGAAACAUCUAAGUACCCGUAGGAAAAGAAAGAAACAUCGAUUCCCUAAGUAGCGGCGAGCGAACGGGGAAGAGCCCAAACCGAGCCUUCGGGCGAGGGGUUGCGGGCCGUCAGAGUUUGUAAAGGAUGUUAGCCGAAUAGCUUUGGAAAGAGCAGCCGCAGACGGUAAAAGCCCGGUAGGCGAAAACAGCCGAUACGAAAGACGGUACCAGAGUAGCGCCGGACACGUGUAAUCCGGCGUGAAACAGGAGGGCCCACCCUCCAAGGCUAAAUACUACCCAGUGACCGAUAGCGAAUAGUACCGUGAGGGAAAGGUGAAAAGAACCCCGGGAGGGGAGUGAAAUAGAAUCUGAAACCUUAUGCUUACAAGCAGAGGGAGCGCAAGUGACCUCGUACUUUUUGUAGAACGGGCCA